UUGAUAAAAAUGGUUUUAUAUAAUCUUUGUUAGAAGUAUAAAUAUAAAAGUAGUGAUAACGAAAUAAAUUUUUAACUAUAGAAAAUUAGUACUGUGAAGGAAAUAUUGAAAUAAUUGAAAAUUUUUCAUAAAAAAAGUUCUUAUAAAUUAAGGUACCUUUUGUAUUAGUGGUUAUUAAAAUAAUAUUGCAAAAUUUUUUCUCGAAAAUAAAAGAUCUAGACAAAUUCUAAAGUUUUUGUGUCAAAAAAAUUUUAAAAAUUUGUUUAGGUGUGAAAUUCUAAUCGCUUUUAUUAAUAUCUAGUAACUUCAGAAAUAAAUUUAGUUUAGAAUAAUAAGAAAUUACUUUACUUACAAGUAAAUUUAAAAUUAUUUUUAAAUUUUAGGGGAUGAGCUCUAAAAUUAUUCUAUAAGAAUAAAUUCUUUUGUUUUUUAUAUAGGCUUAGAAUUAGCCAUAUGAUAGUGUUAUAAAAUAAAAUACAAAGUUUAAGAUUUUAUAUUCUUUUGAAUUUAUGAAGUUAAUUUUAAAAUUGGUUUAAAAAUGAAAAUAUGAUAACAUUAGUAGAUAAAAAUAUACUAGGAUAUAAAUUUAAAUUUUCCUGGAAUUUAUAUAUAAAAAAAUUUAACAAAAGAACUCGGCAAACAAAAUUUCCGAAUGUUUAUCAAAAACAUUUCCUCCUAGAUUAGGAGGUAAGGCCUGCUCACUGAGUAUUUAAAGAGCCGCAGUAUCCUAACUGUGCUAAGGUAGCAUAAUCAUUAGUCUUUUAAUUGGAGACUGGUAUGAAUGGCUUAACGAGAAAUUGACUUUUUUUGUUAUAAAAAUCAAAUUUAAUUUUUUAGUGAAAAAGCUAAAAUUUUUCAGAAAGACGAGAAGACCCUAUAGAGUUUUAUGUUUAAAAAUAUUUUUUCUAAUUUGAUUUUUAUGGAUCAAAUAUUAAAGAACAUUUUGUUGGGGCGACAUUUAGAUAUAAAAAACUCUUUAUUUUUAAAAUUUUUAUAAAAAGAAAGCUUGAUCCUCUAGAAGAGAUCAAAAGAAAAAAUUACCUUAGGGAUAACAGCGUAAUCUUUUUUGAGAGUUCUAAUCGACAAAAAGGUUUGCGACCUCGAUGUUGGACUAAAAUUUAGGCAGGGUGCAGCAGUUCUGCUUUAAGGUCUGUUCGACCUAUAAUAUUUUACACGAUCUGAGUUCAGACCGGCGUAAGCCAGGUUGGUUUCUAUCUUCUGAUUUUUAUUUUUCAACUUAGUACGAAAGGAUUGGUUGAUUAUAAUAAUUAUAAUUUUUUGAGGAUUUUUAAAAUAUUUUAA
rnacentral:rRNA from 1 species